AUUGAACGCUGGCGGCAUGCCUUACACAUGCAAGUCGAACGGUAACAGGUUAAGCUGACGAGUGGCGAACGGGUGAGUAAUGUAUCGGAACGUGCCCAGUCGUGGGGGAUAACUGCUCGAAAGAGCAGCUAAUACCGCAUACGACCUGAGGGUGAAAGCGGGGGAUCGCAAGACCUCGCGCGAUUGGAGCGGCCGACAUCAGAUUAGGUAGUUGGUGAGGUAAAGGCCCACCAAGCCGACGAUCUGUAGCUGGUCUGAGAGGACGACCAGCCACACUGGGACUGAGACACGGCCCAGACUCCUACGGGAGGCAGCAGUGGGGAAUUUUGGACAAUGGGCGCAAGCCUGAUCCAGCCAUGCCGCGUGCGGGAAGAAGGCCUUCGGGUUGUAAACCGCUUUUGUCAGGGAAGAAAAGGUUCUGGCUAAUACCUGGGACUCAUGACGGUACCUGAAGAAUAAGCACCGGCUAACUACGUG
rnacentral:rRNA from 1 species